rnacentral:rRNA from 1 species
UACGGAGGGGGCAAGCGUUAUCCGGAUUCACUGGGUUUAAAGGGUGCGUAGGCGGGUAGGUAAGUCAGUGGUGAAAUCUUCGAGCUUAACUCGGAAACUGCCUUUGAUACUAUCUAUCUUGAAUAUUGUGGAGGUAAGCGGAAUAUGUCAUGUAGCGGUGAAAUGCUUAGAUAUGACAUAGAACACCGAUUGCGAAGGCAGCUUACUACGCAUAUAUUGACGCUGAGGCACGAAAGCGUGGGGAUCAAACAGG